rnacentral:lncRNA from 1 species
UCUCUUUCCUCUGUUUUUCUAUUUCCUCUGUUCUGGUCCCAUACAUGGCUGAAGUUUAACUCUAUUGCCGGCGAAACUUUUUCCCCGUCAAUUGGGGAACUCCGACAACUACAUUCUUCUCUACAGAAGUUUCUGUUUCUUCGUUAAAUUAUAAAAUUUGUUCGAAGUUUCAGAAUUUUAAGUCUUCCUUGAGUCUCAUCAUAGUUUUUCAUCUGAGGUCUUGAAGAUUUGGCAGUUUUUGGAUUUUUUGUUUUUGUUUGUUAAAUGGCGGAAACUGAAGAAAAUAGGGGAAAGAGGAGUCUUUCAAUGCAAAUGAAUGGUUUUUCAAGAGAUCUGUUGCAUAAAUUCAUGAGCGGAAACAACUUUAAAGGGAAAUUGCAACAAAUUCCUCCCAAUGAGAAUCAUGAGGAUGAAGAUGAUAUAGAGCUGAGCUUGGGGCUUUCAUUAAACGGCCGAUUUGGUGUGGACCCAGAAAGAGGCGGAAACAACUUUAAAGGGAAAUUGCAACCAAUUCCUCCCAAUGAGAAUCAUGAGGAUGAAGAUGAUAUAGAGCUGAGCUUGGGGCUUUCAUUAAACGGCCGAUUUGGUGUGGACCCAGAAAGAGCUAAAAGACUCAAACGUUCUUCUUCAAUCAAUAACGCUGUGUUCAUGAACGGUGAGGACAGUAAUAACAGCCGUGGAUUUCCUUGUGGCUCGUACGCAACUCUAGC